rnacentral:rRNA from 1 species
CACUCUUAGUAGUUUGAAUUCCUGGCUCAGGAUGAACGCUGGCGGCGUGCCUAAUACAUGCAAGUCGAGCGAACAGACGAGGAGCUUGCUCCUUUGACGUUAGCGGCGGACGGGUGAGUAACACGUGGGUAACCUACCUAUAAGACUGGGAUAACUUCGGGAAACCGGAGCUAAUACCGGAUAAUAUUUCGAACCGCAUGGUUCGAUAGUGAAAGAUGGCUUUGCUAUCACUUAUAGAUGGACCUGCGCCGUAUUAGCUAGUUGGUAAGGUAACGGCUUACCAAGGCAACGAUACGUAGCCGACCUGAGAGGGUGAUCGGCCACACUGGAACUGAGACACGGUCCAGACUCCUACGGGAGGCAGCAGUAGGGAAUCUUCCGCAAUGGGCGAAAGCCUGACGGAGCAACGCCGCGUGAGUGAUGAAGGUCUUCGGAUCGUAAAACUCUGUUAUUAGGGAAGAACAAACGUGUAAGUAACUGUGCACGUCUUGACGGUACCUAAUCAGAAAGCCACGGCUAACUACGUGCCAGCAGCCGCGGUAAUACGUAGGUGGCAAGCGUUAUCCGGAAUUAUUGGGCGUAAAGCGCGCGUAGGCGGUUUUUUAAGUCUGAUGUGAAAGCCCACGGCUCAACCGUGGAGGGUCAUUGGAAACUGGAAAACUUGAGUGCAGAAGAGGAAAGUGGAAUUCCAUGUGUAGCGGUGAAAUGCGCAGAGAUAUGGAGGAACACCAGUGGCGAAGGCGACUUUCUGGUCUGUAACUGACGCUGAUGUGCGAAAGCGUGGGGAUCAAACAGGAUUAGAUACCCUGGUAGUCCACGCCGUAAACGAUGAGUGCUAAGUGUUAGGGGGUUUCCGCCCCCUUAGUGCUGCAGCUAACGCAUUAAG